GUGCAUUCAGAUAAUGGUGACAUUGUGGAAAGGUUGAUAUCUUUGGAUUUCAAAGGCUUGAAUCAGCCAUGGAAUGGAACUGCAAAAUGAUAUUUUUUUCAACUCUUUUUUACGGUACUUUUUCAGAGGGUAAUGUCAGUGAUUGGUUUAGUGCCCAAGAAAAAUGUCGAUAUGAAGGAAAACAACUCACAACUAAUUCAUCUGCAAGUGUAGACUUUUACUGGACGGGAAAACACAUUAGAUAUUCCCAAAUGAUGAAUAUU